GAUUGCUGCAGGAAAUGUAGAGAAUCUGGGCAUGGGACGAGGUAUGAAGGACGAGUUGGAUCAUCUAGUUUUUGCCGACCUUCAGUGGUUUAAUUAUUCACCUUGAUGUACAGGUGUACUCCAGGACGUUAUGAUCACUGUUGGGUGUGGUUACAGUCUUAAACGUUGAAUCAGAGGGGGCAGAAGAACACUGCUUUUCAGCACCAGCCAUGUGGGAGAUCAGAUCAAACUGCAGACACUCAUCAACAUUUCUGACCUGCCAGAACAGAAAUCCAACUGAUCGUCUGCCAAGCAGACUGUUGAUCAUUCAGGUUCCGUCCUCCACACACUUCUCCAAGGUGUAAGGAUCUGUCAGAUGAGACUGCUGAGUCUGGGUGAUUUUGUUAAUGUCAUGAACAUUAGACUGCUGUAUUUAAACUCUCUUUGGUCGUUUCCUCCAGUCAGCUCCGACUCCAACACACCGCUCAUCGUCCAGACUCACAGGAGGAGACGGAGGGCAAGUGAUGGUGGAAAAUAAAUCAUCAACCACUUUCAGCUGAACCUCUGAGUUUCAGUCUAAGAGGCACCUCAGCUGCUUAUUAUCUGCUCCAGUACUCCACAGUUCAGGUGAUGCGACGAGAGGAUAAUGACAAGCUUUUGGCUGCUCGCUGUUCAGUUGAUUCACUGCAUUUUAAAAAAAGGGAAAAGCCGUUAAGAGAAAGAAAGAACAGAAGCUUUGACAGCAUUUGAUGGUGAAUUUCUUUCCACGGUCUCUGCAGUGGAGCCUCUCCAUGCAGCGCCGGCCUUCGCCCGUCUGAUUACCAGCUGAGCCCCCGACGCUGGUGUCAAGUGUUUCCAAUCCACGGCUCAGUUUCUGCAAUCAGCAUACAACCUCGUACUGAAAACUGAAAAUACAGAUGGAAAUGUAGAAACGCUGGGGCCAGUUUCCUCCCGCUGUUGAAGCUUCUCUCGUUCACAGAUUUCAUCAUAUCCAGUCAACACAAAUGUUGUUUACAUCCAGUAUUUCUCAUCUAAACACAUUGUGUGUAUUCAUAAGAGCUAACACAUGUGUUGAAUGCAUGUAAAACAAUUAAAAAGCUCCUUCUUCCCUUACAUUUGACAUGUUACUGCCACCGAAACCAUAAGCAGAGCUGAUUAUCACACUAACUAGACUAGAAAAUGUGGAUCCACUGCAAAACAUUGCUCCAUAGCACUACUAGCAUACUUGCCAAUCCUCACAAUUUUCCCGGGAGAAUCCCAUUUUUCAUUUGCCCUCUCCUGGUUUCCUCUCGGGCUCACAUAUCUCCCACAUUUCUUUUGAUUUAUGGCAAUUUUUCACACCUUUUUUUUUUUACACCUGUCUCCUCUGCUUCUUUCAAUUUAUUGUUGUAAAUAUCAGAACUCAUCAUGCUUGAGUGAGAACUGAACAAAUGCUUUUUAAAUUGUAUUUUGAUUAGGG